ACGGGAGGCAGCAGUGGGGAAUAUUGGACAAUGGGGGAAACCCUGAUCCAGCGACGCCGCGUGAGUGAAGAAGUAUUUCGGUAUGUAAAGCUCUAUCAGCAAGGAAGAAAAUGACGGUACUUGACUAAGAAGCUCCGGCUAAAUACGUGCCAGCAGCCGCGGUAAUACGUAUGGAGCAAGCGUUAUCCGGAUUUACUGGGUGUAAAGGGAGCGUAGACGGAAGGCCAAGUCUGAUGUGAAAACCCAGGGCUCAACCCUGGGACUGCAUUGGAAACUGGUCAUCUAGAGUGCAGGAGGGGUAAGCGGAAUUCCUAGUGUAGCGGUGAAAUGCGUAGAUAUUAGGAGGAACACCAGUGGCGAAGGCGGCUUACUGGACUGUAACUGACGUUGAGGCUCGAAAGCGUGGGGAGCAAACAGGAUUAGAUACCCUGGUA
rnacentral:rRNA from 1 species